rnacentral:rRNA from 1 species
UACGGAGGGUGCGAGCGUUAAUCGGAAUUACUGGGCGUAAAGCGUGCGCAGGCGGUUUUGUAAGCCAGAUGUGAAAGCCCCGGGCUUAACCUGGGAAUUGCAUUUGAUACUCUGGAGCUUGAGUACGGGAGAGGAGAGUGGAAUUCCCAGUGUAGAGGUGAAAUUCGUAGAUAUUGGGAAGAACACCGGUGGCGAAGGCGGCUCUCUGGACCGUAACUGACGCUGAGGAGCGAAAGCGUGGGGAGCGAACAGG